rnacentral:rRNA from 1 species
AUUGAACGCUGGCGGCAUGCCUUACACAUGCAAGUCGAACGGCAGCGGACCUUCGGGUGCCGGCGAGUGGCGAACGGGUGAGUAAUAUAUCGGAACGUACCUUUCAGUGGGGGAUAACGUAGCGAAAGUUACGCUAAUACCGCAUAUUCUGUGAGCAGGAAAGCAGGGGAUCGCAAGACCUUGCGCUGAUUGAGCGGCCGAUAUCAGAUUAGCUAGUUGGUGAGGUAAAGGCUCACCAAGGCGACGACGGGUAGGGGACCUGAGAGGGUGGCCCCCCACAAUGGAACUGAAACACGGUCCAUACACCUACGGGUGGCAGCAGUAGGGAAUAUUGCUCAAUGGGCGAAAGCCUGAAGUAGCAACGCCGCGUGUGCGAUGAAGGCCUUGGUCGUAAGACACUUUCUAAGAGAUGAGAAAGGACAGUAUCUUAGGGUAUAAGUACUCGGC